GACGAACGCUGGCGGCGUGCCUAACACAUGCAAGUCGAACGAGGUCCAUCCUUCGGGAGAAGACCUAGUGGCGAACGGGUGAGUAACACGUGAGGAACCUGCCCCGAAGACCGGGAUAACCCUCCGAAAGGAGAGCUAAUACCGGAUACCCCCACCGAACCGCAUGGUUUGGUUGAGGAAAUAGGAUUCCGCUUCGGGAGGGCCUCGCGGCCUAUCAGCUAGUUGGUGGGGUAACGGCCCACCAAGGCAUCGACGGGUAGCUGGUCUGAGAGGACGAUCAGCCACACUGGGACUGAGACACGGCCCAGACUCCUACGGGAGGCAGCAGUGGGGAAUCUUGCGCAAUGGGCGAAAGCCUGACGCAGCAACGCCGCGUGGGGGAU
rnacentral:rRNA from 1 species